rnacentral:lncRNA from 1 species
UAAUCCAUAAUUCUCUAUGUUCUUCUUUUCCUUGAUUUUCAAGGAAAAUGUAUGUAUUGAUAGAUUAGGAUAUGGGUUUGAUUAAUAGUACGGAAUUACCGGUGGUGGUGGGGAGGCGUAGGAUACCCCGAUCACUGGCGGAAGAGGGGUGUUGUCCGGUGGGGGUUGUGGGUGUGUGGGUUUAUGGGGUGGUGAGGGUGGUUGGGUUUGAUGUGGAGGUGGUGGUGGGGAAUGAUGGUGGGUGGUGGGUGGCGGUGGAGAUUGAGGUUGUUGUGUUGGUGAUGGUGGUGGGUGGUGCCAUUGUUGUGGUGGCGGUGGAGGUGGUGGUGUUGGUAGAAUGCAUCCAGAUGAUGGUGGUGGUGGCGGAGGAAGUGAAUGGGAUGAUGGAGGUGGAGGCGAGGUGCUGACGUGGCCGGGUGGAGAAUUGUCCGGUGAUGGAACUGGAAUAUGUUGGGGUGGAGGUGGUGAGGUUUGGCUUCCAUGAGGCGGCGAUUGGUGGCUACCGUGUGGUGGAGAUGGAGUGCUUCCCUGUGGUGGAGAUCCAUGGCUUCCAUGUGGCGGUGAUGGUACAGGUUGACCUGCUGGUGGAGAUCCGUGGCUUCCAUGUGGCGGUGAAUGGUGGCCUCCAUGUGGCGGUGAAUGGUGGCUUCCUUGUGGCGGAGAUCCUUGGCCUCCAUGUGGCGGUGAUGGUACAGGUUGACCUGCUGGUGGAGACCCGUGGCUUCCAUGUGGAGGCGAUCCGUGGCUUCCUUGUGGCGGAGAUCCUUGGCCUCCGUGUGGUGGUGAUGGUAUAGGUUGACCCGUUGGUGGCGAUUGAUGGCUACCAUGUGGCGGAGAAUGGUGGCUACCAUGUGGCGGCGAUUGGUGGCUUCCUUGAGGUGGAGAAGGUGUGCUUCCCUGUGGUGGAGAAGGUAUGCUUCCCUGAGGUGGGGAUCCCUGACUUCCAUGUGGCGGUGAUGGCACAGGUUGUCCAGUUGGUGGUGUGAUCUGGGACACUGGUGGUGGUGGUGGAUAAUGGAUUGAUGGAGUAGUUCCCUCUCUAGGCGGUGGUGGAGGGUGUAACUUUGUAUUUGGUGAACUCUCAGAAGUAGGCGGUGGUGGUGAUGGCUGAACAGAUGGCGGAUGUGGUGUAGGCAUGGUAGAAGGGGGUUGAGACGGUGUCGGAGUCGUUGGUGUCGUUGGAGUAGGAACUGACGUCGGAGUAGGAGCCGACGGUGACGUCGGAGUAGGAGCUGACGGUGUAUUGGGACCAGAAGGUGACGUCGGGGUAGGAGCUGACGGUGUAGUGGGAACAGAAGGUGACGUCGGAGAAGGAGUUGAAGGUGAAGUCGGAGUAGGAGAAGAUGACGGCGCCGGCGAUGAAACACCACCACAUUGUAGCUUCCUACAAUCAACAGGACGAGCAUCUCCAGAGGAACACUCCCUAACUGAUCGCUGGUUCGUCUUUCCAAUAAUACAAUUCUUCCCGUCAUCAAACACCUUACCACCACCACCUCCGGCAGCAGAGCACGACGGCGCUUCACCAGUGAAGUAGUUAAAAGAGUAAGUAAAGUUCUGCAAUCUCGGCAACCUACAAAUACUAUCCGGCACCACUCCAGUCAGCCGGUUAUGCGCCACAUUCAGCUGCUCCACACUUCUCAUUCCACCAAUCGCCGCCGGCAACGGCCCUUGAAGAUUGUUAAAGCUGACGUCAAAAACCGUCACCUGCUUCAACAUUCCGAUUUGCACCGGCAAACACCCCGUUAGAUUAUCAUUCAUGAGAAUAAUCUCGUUCAACGUUUUCCCCAUCUGACCAAUACUCGCCGGAAUACAACCACCGAGAUUAUUGUUCGCUAAAACAAGAACAGACACCGGCGAGUUACCCAAGUUCGGCGGAAUGCCGAACUGAAACCGGUUAUCAUUCAAAAAAACCGCAUCAAGAUCUUUAUCAAACAGCUUCGUAGGUACAGACCCCUCAAACUCGUUGAACCGGAGAUCCAAAUACUUCAACGCCGGCAAAGACAAGACCACCGUCGGGAAAACUCCGACGAAGCGGUUGUUACUUAAAUCGAGCUCGUGUAGUAAUGUAAGGUUCUUGAAAGUCGUCGGAACAGUGCCACAGAAGCGGUUUGAGUUGAUGUGGAAAAGUGCUAGGUCAGUGAGUAAGCCGAGCUCCGGUGGGAGAUAACCGGCGAUAUCAGCAUGGUUGAGGUCUAUGCCGGCGACGACACGGAUAGAGGGGUUGGGUAUGGAGGGGGCGCAGUAGACACCGCUGUAGGAACAGACGUUUGAGCCUUUCCAGUUGGUGGUGAAGUUGAAGGGGUCGGAAAAGAUGGCGGAUUUCCAUGCUUGGAGAGCAAUGUAGGCUUGCCGGAGCCUUGGGUUCUCGAAAACAAGCUUGUUUACGUCGUCGUUUUCGGCGGCGGAGCAGAUCUGGAGGGUGGUGGUGGAAAUGAGCAAGAGGAGGAGGAGGGAGCGUAAGCGCGGUGGAGGCAUGAUUUAGAGGAGAGAGAGUGAGAGAGAGAGAGAGAGAGAAAAUAAUGAAUAAAUGUUGAAACAAAGCAAUGUGCGAUUCCUGUUAUAUUUCCCCCCAAUGUCAGAAUUUAAAGCCUUUGGUUUUAUUAACAUGAAUAAUUGAUAUUUGAAUUAUUAUGGUACCUUUUUAAAUCUUAUUAUAAUAUUUAACUUGAAUAGGUAAAAACUACUACAAGUAUCUGUAAGAUGAUUUUUUUUAGUCUUUUGACCUUUUUAACCACAAAAAUGUCAUUAAAAUUGGAAAAUCUAUUCAAAAAAAGGCUUCUUCUUUUUUUACAUUCGUAAAGUUUUUACAAAGUUGUUAAUUAACAAACUAAACUAUCGUCAUAAUUAUUUUCAAAGAUUUGAUUCAACCAAUUAUAAAUUAAUUAAAAAAAAACAGAAAACUACUUUGUUGGGGAGUUUUUUUUUAUUUUUUUUUUUAUGGUUUUUUCAUAAAAAGAUUAUACCAAAAACCAUGCUUUUACUUGUUUAUAUUAAAUUAUAUAAAUUGUCCGGAAGUUUGGAGGAAACUGCAAGUGGUUUUUAAGCAUCAAUUUUUUGCAAGAGCGGUCCCUUUUAUUAAUACUGUUAGUUUCUAAAAAACGGGUAUUAAAUACUUAUAAAAAAACUAAAUUACCAUUAUUUUUUACUUUUUAUUUUUUUUAUUUUACUAUUUAUUUAUUAACAGCCGAAUCACAACAUCAUGUUCUUUGAACGGAACAAAAACAAAUAUAUGGUGCUUUUGGGAUUUGCUUUUAGAAACCAAUAUAUGAUUACGACUGGAAGGGAUGUUAUGUUGGUUGUAGAAAAGGGAAAGAUUAAUUAUAGAUAGAAUUACAUAUUUGGUCCUUGUGGUUUGUAUAUAAGACCACUGUAUGUCCUUUUGAGAAAUUUUGCAUAUAAAUUGUCAUAUUUUCAAUUUCAUGUUUCAAAUGAACACGGAAGGUCCCUUUAGCUAACGUGCUUACGGGGUUAACUUUUUUAAUUAAGUCCGAUAUGAAAUGAAACAUUUGUCUUUUCUAUCGCAUGGACCAUUUAUGUAACUUUUUCUUGCGACAAGUACUAUUUGUGUAAUUUUAUCUAUCAUUUAGACAAAUGCAAAAAUGGUCCCUGUGGUAUGCGUUUUUUCUGAUGUUUGAUCCAAACCUCGAAUUUUUUGAUCGAUGGUUCUUUUGACCAUGAUUGAUUGUGAUUUUGGUCAUUCGGAAAAUUGAAAAGACAAAUACUGCCGUUCUUAUAUACUUUCUAUAUUUCCUCGAUUUAAUUUAAAAGCAUUAUUAAUUAAAAUAAGGAGUCUCUCUCUCUCUCUCUCUCUCUCUCUCUUUCUCUCUCUCUCUCUCUCUAUCUCUCUGCGUGUAUACAAUCGUGUUUGUUUAAUAGAUCAGAUCCAUUCUAAUUUAGUUCCGAAAAAAUUGCAAAAAUGGUCAUUGUGGUAUGUAUUUUUCUGAGGUUUGGUACAAACCUCGACUUUUUUGAAUUGAUAGUCCUUUUAAGCUAUUUUGAUUGCGUAUUUAGUCCCUCCAAAUAUUGAAAUGACUAUAAUAUCCGUAGGGUAUUUAUUUUUCAUUUUUCUUUCAUUUUUUUGUAAAUCAAAUCCUUAUUUAUUUAUUUUAUUAAUCAUAAAAAGAGGUCUCUCUCUCUUACUAAAACCGUCCCCAAAAUGUGCAUCUUCCUCUUACUCAUACAAAAGAACAACCAUGGUUGUGCUCCACCUCUCUCUUUAAUCAACCCCUUAUACCUAAAUUACAUAAACGAAAUCCCCCUCCCUUUUUGAUUCCUCACAGAUUCAUUCACUCUCUAUGUUCUAAUCAAGAGUUCUUGAUAAACCCUAACUCUUAAUCGCACACCCCAAAACAAGACGAAGAGAAGAAAAUCUGAUAAUUGAUCGAGUUUUUAGAGUUCUUGACAGACCCAAUUCUUAUAUACACACGGACAAAGAAGAAACCAUGUAAAUUAUGAUUAAAUCUCGUUGAGUUGCAGGGGUGAUUGUUGACCCAAUUGUGGUGGUGAUAAUGGUGGUCGGAAAUUUGUUGGUGGCCAUCAGACUUUGGCCCACCUCCAUAUCUCUCUCUCUCUCUCACAUCCAAUUCUCUAUGUACCUUCAAAAAUCAUCUCCUCAAGAAAUCCAAGGUUUUAAACCCAAUGAAAUUAAAACCUAAUCCUUUUUGUUUUGUUUCUUGGUUUGAUUUCUGAAUAAAAAAACCUUAUUGGAUAAAUCGAGAAUAAUAUAUUAGAAAGGGAGAUAAAGACAGUGGUGGUGAACAUGAUAUUCAAAAAUAAAAGAUACAAUGGAGAUGAACCGAUGAAGAGCUGAUGAAAUUUCAAUUUACAAAUCUCGAUUUAUAGAUGUUAAAAUAUCGAGUUACCGGAAAAGCCCCACAUUCAAGAUCCAAACUUCUAUUCUUCUUCAGAGAUGAAACACAAACGCCCCACCUUCGAAUCUAGGGCUUCACUGGUUCCUUAUAUGCCAAAAAUGCUAGGGCCGUUAGUCGUCGAUUGAACCGACCAUUAUAGAACAUCGUCCAAUAACUUUGUCCAGGACAUUGAAACGCAUUUCAAUUAACACAAUUAUCAAAGUCAAAUCCCAAAGAUCACGAAUUGUGGAAAAAACACGGGUGUAUGCGUUGCGAUCGUCCCGAGCUCUUUCGUUUGAAAACUAGAGUAACAUAAACUGGAAACCAUAAGCACAAAGCUUAGUGAGUUCCCCAAAUACCACAUACCAUACAUAUCCAACAAUCCAUACGAGUCAUACAUAAUCGCGAGCCAUAAAUAUCAUUCAUAUAACAUAAUCAAUAAAGGUGUUAUGUGUCGCACAUAGUCUUGCCAUUAUGUCGCGAGCCACCUCGUGGUCUUUCUUGCCAAGUCGGGGGCCACAACCCUGGGUCUUAUAGAAAAGUGUCAGGAGCCACCUUCAGGUCUUCCAUGCAAGCAUCACAAAGACAACUAGCAUACAAUCUAAUUUUCUUAACUAAUUAGCAUACAAUGUGCCAGGAACCGCCUCCUGGUAUUUUAUAGCCUAGGGCUAACCCCUGGGUCUUUCUACAAUACUUAAACCAAAUGGGUCGGCAUUGGUGCCUUCGACCCCUACGAACAGUGAAGAUACUCACCUAAAAUGCUGAAGCUUAUUGCACAAAAUCUUAGUUGAUGACCUGACGACUUCCCAAACUAUUAAUACCCAAACAAUAACCAAUUAGAAACUAAAAUCCAAACCAUGUUCCAUAAUCCAAACUUGGGGUAAAAUAACCAUUCUACCCCUGGCCCAUCAAGACUCACAACCAAGGCCCAAGCCUAAAACCAACAAGGCCCAAAACUAUAAGAUCCAUAAAAGCCCACUAAUGGACCAAUUUUCCAAAUUGAGCCCGAUCCCAUAUGGGUCUUAUCCUAAGCCCAUAUUUUCCUUGAAUACAAUUCAGGGUACACAAACACCUCUUGGGACACACAUUGGUCGAAAGCAUAAGUCAAAAGUCAAAGUCAACGCUCCGACUCAACUCAUCGACUUAACCCAUAAUUCAUUGAGUUUCCAUUAAGCACAAAAUCGCGAUAUUUCGAUCCAACUCGCUGAGUUUCUCAUUAACUCGUCGAGUUCCUCUUUUUUCAACAAAAUCGGGACAAACCCAACCCAACUUGCUGAGUUCCCCUAUGAACCCAUCGAGUUCUUCAGUUAGCCAACCCACUUAAUGCAUUCAGCCACUAUUCUUCAAACCAAAGCCCAAUCUUCCAGAUCUAAACUGAAAAAGCGUCUAGAAGGAAAAGUUUAUGGCUUUACCCAUUAAGAACCAUCAUAAUGGGAUUAAAAUCAAACCUUAGCCUUAAGAAGCUUAUGCCUUAAUCUGAAAACCACCAAGUCUUCAAGAUAGAGCUCAUAAACACAGAUUUGGACCUUAAAGGCUAAAAGGUCCCGCAAAGUCUUCAACUUUACUCACAUGUAAGGCUAAAAGGAGCUUAAAAGGCCAUAACAAGGGCUUAAUGGAUGCAUGGAGCUCUUAGGGCCAUAAAGUUGGCACCUUUAUGCCAUAAAAGCUCCCUAGGACCCUAGAUCUGAAAGGGUUUGACCAAAAGGGACGUCCAACUCCCAAAACCUUAUAAUUUGGACCAAAACAAGCAAAAGAACCCCAAGAUGAAGAUCUAAGAAAUCACAAAUCAAGGUUGAAACUUUUUACCAGAAAAAUGGCGAAAAUGAAGAAAGGAUUCGGGAUCUAGCAGCUCCUUCUUAUAUCACCAAGCUUUCCUUUCUUCCAAUGACUUCAAACACACCUAAAACACUCCAAAAUGGUUCACAAUCACUCAAAGAUGCCUUACGGUUUUGAGGUUAGGGUUUAGGACAAUGGAAGCUGGAAAUGAGGCCAACUUAUAGGGUUUAAGUUGUUUAAAUAGGGUGCAAAAUCCCGAAAUUAGGGUUUCCCAAACCACAUCCAACUCGUCGAGUUGUUCCUUUCCAACUCGUUGAGUUGGUCUUCAAAAACACGCGUGACCAACACUUCCAGCACGUCGAUUUUAUGCCUUAAACUCAAUGAGUUGACCUUUAGAAAUGAGGUAUUUAUUUCCAUAACUGACCUUCUAGAUUUCGGAUGUUAUAUUCCAAACGAGGACAGACCGAAGAGGGCAUGAUCCAACUUCAGAACAUCCAAUUUCAAGCAUCGUUGAAUGGGAUGUGUCGUUGAUCAAAAAGAGGAAAUAAUAUGUAGUUAUUGAUAAACGUGUGGGAAUGAACAUCUACACCCAAAUUAAUUUCCAAAAAUUAAAACAUACACAAACACACACACAUACUCAAAUCAAUUUCCAAAAAGAAAACACAGACACGCAUUCUAAUAAAUUUCAUGUGUGAAACACACAAACACAUGCAUUUUCAGAUUUUGUUUUAGGGGAUGAAGACACACACAUGAAUUCAUAUGUGGUUCAAUUUUAGUGUUUCGAUUCUUGAGUUUCGGUUUAGAAAAACCCAACACCAUUGAGUUAUAAUUAUUGAACUAGUUUUUUUAGUGUGCGUUUUGCAAGUGUUUGUAUGUAUGAAGCCACUCGAUAGAGAGAGAGAGAGAGAGAGAGAGAGAGAUAGAGCGCGAGUGUUGUUGUAAGCUCCGAUAGUCAAUCCUACAUGCAACGCUUGAUUGUGUUUUUUCCCGUCCAAAUCGAUUUUGAUUAUAUGUUCAAUUGUUCAUAGAUGAACACGAUGAACACAAACAGACCUGUACAUUGAUUUUUUUGGUUUUGUUAGGGCUAGAAAAUGUUGAAUUUAGGGUUGGAAAGUAUUGAUUUUAGAGCUGGAAAACAUCGACAUGGCAAAUUUUUACAAACCUUAAUUUCUGAUCUUGAUCUUGCUUAUGUUUGAUGUGGAAUGGAUGUCAUAUUGAUUAAAGUUUUAUGGGAACUAAAAACAAAAGUACAAAAAUGGUCUCUGUGGUAUGCAUUUUUUCUGAGGUUUGGUCCAAACCUCGACUUUUUUGGAUUGGUGGUUAUUUUGAUUAUGUUUGAUUGUGAUUUUGGUCCCUUGGAAAACUGAAAAGACUAAAAUGCCCUUAUGAUACACUUUUUUUUAUUUUCUCUAUUUAAUUUAAAAUUUUAUUAAUUAAAAAUAUGGGGCUUCUCUCUCUCUCUCUCUCUCUCUCUCUCUCUCUCUCUCUAGCCAAGCACUCCCACGUUAUCUCUUAUCACUCACCUCUCACCAUCAUGUACCUGCUUCUCCGGUUUGCAAACUCGGUUUCUAGAAGAAAGGCAAAUCAAGAGCAUUUUUGCUUAUCUCAACAAUAACCAAAAAAGAUAUGGAAAAGUCAUUUUUUUUAAAGAUUUACAAAUUUUAGUUUUUUCUUGUAAAUUCAUGAGCAUACAGACACACGUGAAAAAUCCAUUGACUUUCUAGGUUCUACACACACACACUGAUACACGCAUAAUGAUUAUGUGCUUCAAGGUUUUUGUGACAUCCCUAAUUUCACGGUCAUUUUAAAAAAUUUAUUCAUGCUUAUUUAAAGAUCAAAGUAACCAUUUUAAAGGAUACUAUUGUGAAAUUUGUUCCCAGAAAACAUGAUAAAGAUAUUAUCAAAGCAUUUCUAAAGAAAUGUAUUUUAUUUAUAUUAAAACAUUGGAAUGUCGUCGUCAAUAUAGAAACGUAAGCAUAAAUAGACCUUACAUUCAUUUACACUAAUAAUUUACAUCUCCUUUAAUCUCUCAAUGUAACGUGUCGUCAUAUCGAUACUUGUGAUAUAAAUAAACUGAGUGGGUCAAGUUGGGAAACCUUGUGAGUACAUAGGGUUUUCAACCCACAUUAUUAUAAUUAUUAUGCUUAAUCAUCAAUCAAUUAACCCAACUUCCCAUCCCCAUUAUCUUCUUUAUUCUUCAGGAUCUACCCUAAGAAUCAUCUAUCAUUCAUUCCCAAGGAUUAUCCUAAGGAAUAUACAUGAAGCCCAUCGUUGCCAGAGUUUAUCUAAUAAGCACUAAGUCGAUAGCUGUCGAUGUUAUCUGUUAGACACUAAGUCCAUAGCUGCCAAUGUUCAUCUAUAGGGUACUAAAUCGAUAGCUGCCAACAUUCAUUUGUAACGCACUAAGUCCAUAGUUGCCAACAUUCAUUUGUAACGCACUAAGUCCAUAGUUGUUAGGGUUUUUAGAGUACAUAUGGUGAACAUGUCGUUCACAACACUUGCAGGUUGCGAGCCUGCUAGCAUUCCACUGGACUGUCUAUAAUAGUUCGUGGUUGUCAUCUAUACUCGGCUUGAUGACUGGGCCAUCGCUUGGGUCAAGUCUUCUCAUCAUCUAUAUCAUCUUUCAUCUCUCAUCAUUCAUGUCAUCUUUCAUCUCUCAUCUCAUCUUUCAUCUACCCAUAUUUAGCCAUCAUAAUUAUAGGUAUAAAAUAUGUAUACAAUUUAAAUCAAACAAAACAUGUAUAUUUUGUUCAUCCAAUAUAGAUAUCAAGAACACAAAUAAUAUGCACAUAUAGCAUGUAAUUUAUAUUAAAUACUUCAUAUCUAUGUGUAAUAUGAAAGUAAUUAUGCACUCAUGUGUUAAGGUGAUGAAUCUAAACUCGGACAACACGUCGCUUCUAACAAUUUUAUUUUCCUUCGACGAAACCUAGUAUCAUUAGCACUAGAUUUUAGUCUAAUAUUUAUUGCGACUAAUUAUUAGUCUAGAUUCACAAGCGAUAUUGUUUAAUAAGUGUUAAACAAUACUUUUCAACUACUAUGUAUAGACAGGGGCCAAACAUGAAACACCGAAGGGCAUGACCAUUUUGGCAUUUAAGCUGUUCUGAAAUCCAACAACCUUAUGCGACCCUUCGAACCAAAUUCCCUAUAUCGCGAGUAGUUAAAAGGUAUUAUAAUAACACUUUAUAUUUUAUCAUACUUAGCACAUAUAUUGCUUAUAAGUUCAUAAUAACGAUAAUGAACUUAUACAUCAGCUAUAGUUAAAGUAGGGUAAGCAUAACUUACUUAUAAGGGGGUUUGGCUAGGAACCAUACUCUACGGGGCUAGAACUUAUGAGCUGAAAGCUCUUUUUCUCGGUGCCUUAUGGCGCUCUGGGACUCGCUUGUAGCACUUGGGAAGUACUAAGGAAGGGGAGGGAGUGUUUGGGAGUUAUGAGAGAAAAAGAAGGGAUAAGGUGUGAAGAAAUGGGGUGCUCCUCGCAUCUAUUAUAGGGGAAACUUUGGACUACUCUGGGUGUAGCCUCAGAGCACACUGCAUGUACGAGGGGCUACGUUGCGCGUAUGAGGGGGCAACUGUCAGCUGUGCACGCGAGACUAUGGGGAGAAAGCAAAGGUUUGGAUGGUGCCAUGUGGAGAAAUCUGGGACCACAUAUGUGAGUACGCGCGACAUAAUGUCGGGUGCGCAGGGCGUACUCGUGCCACGUGUCACCCUCGUAUCCUCUUAUAAAUUAAUAAACUUCUAAAUUCCGUAACUUUCACAUACAAUCUCCGUUUUUGACGUUCUUUAUAUCCACGCACAGGUAUUGAUAGGAUCCACAACUUUCAUUUAGUCUCUAUCGGCUAAUUUUGACUUUGUUUUUAAAGUUAUAUUUUAACAGGCUUAGACAGAUAAAGUCUGUUAAAAUUUCAUAAUUUUAUCAUUCGACGUCUGUUUUCGUCUAUCUUUAUAUCGUUGAGUUCCUAUUAGUGAGAUCUUCAAUUCUGAUUUAGAUUGUGUCGGCUAGAAAUUGAUUGAUCUAAAAUUUGAAUUUCGGGUUGUGCACUGCUAUGCUAAAUCUUAGAAAAAUCAUAACUUCCUCAUACGAAGUUAGAUUUGGACGUUCUUUUUAUUCACAUUCUCGAUUUAACGUAUACUACUACUUUCCUUUAGAUCGCUAAGGCUAAAAAGUAAUGUAAGUCCCCAAAACUGAAACCAACUAGUGAUCAAACACAAAAACAAGUAGUAAUCAAUUAAGAAUAAGGAGUAGAAGCAAAGAAUGAUCCAACAAUGCACACGUCGAUUAGGCCGCAAACUUCAGGUACACUUGGAUACACACACACGACUACUGUUCAUCUGAAAAAUCUGACACUAUUUAAAGGGAGCAACCAAUCGCAAACACGUUCACGACCACACACACGUUCACGGCCGUGAACACCUAUACAGCCGCAAACACACAACCGUACACCCAUACAUUACAUGACCAAAACCCUAUCAAGACCUAUACAGAUUGAUGCCUUGCUUAAACGAACAAAAUAUGACCUAACAUUCUCCCCCUUGGUUUGAGGCAAGCAUGAAUUUAGUCUUUCUCGAUGACCAGCACAUCAGAUAUACCCAUUGCACCCAGCCACAUCUUUUUCUCGAUAAUAUCGGCAAUCAUGCUUGUGAAAUCCUUAACAUCAACCUCAAAAAUCUCUUCAUGGCAUGAAAUUUGAUGAUGAGCCAAAAUGUGGAUGUCCCUUUCACCAAAUUGUAGCAGAUCCCUUUUGUAAACAAUAUGAAAGACACCAUCUGGGAAUUUGAUAACAGCAGAAGCUGUGGCAACAUCGUAGACCUAGUAUUCCAUCUUGUGUAGUGAUCCAUCACAAAAUUUCUUCACAAUCGAAAUUUGUUUCAUCUGAUCUGUCGGGGGCCACAUGACAUUCGUGAAGUUCUUAUUGGUCUUUGGGUUAAACACAUCUUUAGCUCUCUUCAGGAAAGAUUAAGCGGUCUUCAUCCCAUCAGAUUGUCUCUUAACUUGGUUUUCCAAGAAGAUUUUGAAGUCUGUUCCACGAGGGUCAUUAGCAAGAUUGGAGAAUGGAGCUUUAGAGAGCUCCGUAAGAUCCACCUUCGUCAAAGAAGUUAAAUCAUUUUUGUUUUUGUAGUACUCCACAUUCCCGCUCUUGCGUUUGAUCAGCCAACAAUUUAAUUUAUCGUGAAAAUCCCACAUAUGAAUCCCUGACCGGUCAUCGUAUCUAUCUCUGAACCACAUUUUUCCGAGAUCCGUCAAAGUGUGUUGGGGCUGGUCUCCACGAGCAUUAUGAUCAGAAUUUUUCAUGAAGAGCCAUUUCCCCUUCUUCUUAAAAGAUGAUGAUUGUCGGGCUCGCUUAAGAGUAACUUUUGGAGGCACUUAAGCUGGUUCAGUUUCAAAUUGGUCAACGAUUGUUGUGGUUCUGAUUGGAGGAUUGUUAUCAAGCUUAUCAGAUUGUGAUGUAUUAGUUGGGGCAGAUUGUGAAGUCUCGGCUGCCUUUGGAUCUUCGACUAUGGUCUUGAACUUGUCACCAAAUUCUGAAAUAAGCUUGUUCUUCAAGUUGAAGUAUCCAGCAGUUAGGGCUCCAAGGUUGACUUGUAGAGUAGAGAUUUGUUUUGACUUUAAAGUAUUUUCUUCUUCCAGCUCAGAAACUCGGAUGUCGAUAUUUUCAAUCAAAACGUCCUUUUCCAUGCUUUCUUUGACAAUGUCAAUGAUGUUGCACAACCUGCAACGGAGACAGAGGGAGCCCGUAAUGUUCUCGAAGUGACGCCUCCAAUUUCCAGCGAGAUGGCCAAAAUGUGUAACUCUCCAAAACUGGAACCAACUAGUGAUCAAACACACAAACAAGCAGUAAUCAAUUAAGAAUAAGAAUGAGUAAAAGCAAAGAAUGAUCCAACAAUGCACACAUCUAUUAGGCCGCAAACGUCGGGUACACUUGGAUACACACACACACGACUACUGUUCAUCUGAAACAUCUGACACUAUUUAAAGGGAGCAACCAACCGCAAACAAGUUCACGGCCGCACAAACGUUCACAACCAUGAACACCUAUGCAACUGCAAACACACAACCGUACACCCAUACAUUACAUGAAUAAAACCCUCUAAAGACCUAUACAAAUUGAUGUCUAUCUCAAACCAACAAAAUAUGCCCUAACAAGUAAUUUAUCAAAAAUUCACCUUUUAUGUUACGCAGUGUCGUGUCGGUUUAGCUGUAAAACUUCGACGGGUCAUAACUUCUUCGUUAUAACUCGGAUUUCAGCGUUCUUUAUAUGUAUGAAAUCCUUGUGACAUAUACUAUAACUAGGUUAAGAUUAUUUAAUCUAAAUAAUUUUCUAUCAAAAAGUCACUUUUGAUGCUUAUUGUGUCUGAAUUGACUAGCCCGAAUCUGCGGGCGUUACAAUUAUCUCCCCCUUAGGAUGAUUACGUCCCGAAAUCAUCAACGAGACAGGGCUUGUAUAAUGUAUCCAUAUGUUAUAUUUUCAUCCUUGGUAAUAACCGUAACUCAUAUGUUCCUUCGAAUAAGUAUCUAACCCUUUGACUUCUUGACUGCAGGCGGUGCUCGAUCUUGCAACCGCUCUUUGUACCAUGUUGGACUUUCAAUCGUAACCUAUGAGUUACAAAAUAAGUCCUUUUUGGAGACUCCUACUCCUUAUUAAACAGACUUUACUUCGAUUAUUGUAACAAACUGAUGAGUCAUGUCCUAACGACCUCUUAGCGUAUGAUGCAAUGCUUAGAUUCAGGUCUUUUAGAGUCAAAUUCUAUGUUUCCUUCCUUCAUGUUCUAAUGUGAUAUAAUCACAUUCUAGCAUGUGGCACUUUUAGCUACAAGCUCUUUCUUUAACAAUAAUCGUGAUACUUCUAUUGAUCACUUCGAUUAUCUUUUACUUUAAUCGUCUGGCUUAACUCAGAUGCUACAUCGAUCUUGGUUCUCUGAACCACAUAACAUAUUCAUCUUAGUCGGACUCAAUUUGAUAUGAUCACUAGGGUUGGAAUAACAAUCAUCUUCUUAGCUAUUACUAAAACGAUGGUAAAGACAGACAUGAAUCAAACGAAAUCAAUUACUAGCGCUUUGUUAACCUUGUGACUUUCCCUGAUCCAAGUGUGAGUCCUAUGCUUCCAGUAGUAUAGGCCUCUACUACCUUUCACACCUACUCAUACUCGUCCGAAGUAUUGUCUCGUAGUUCUCCAAGUCACCAUACAAGUAUUUGACAUAGUCAUUUCACACAUCAAAUAGCAUAGCUAAGGUUUAUAUUAUUUCUUGAAAUGAUUACAUAGAUUGAAUGACCCAAAGAUCAAACAACUUAUCAAACAAUGACAGAAAAUAAGAACAAUAAAGAUUCACAAAGAAAACUUUUCACUAAGAAUGAUAAUCUCACAAAGAGAUUAUCGUAUGCACAAAGCGGCUAUUAGGGUUUGUGAAAACGUACGUCAACACAAACUGAUACAAAAGAUUAUAUACUACUAUUCUAGACAAUCCCUAUAAAUCAGGGAUAUGCCAGCUAACUAAUUUACGCUAACUAAGGAAACAAGAUAAAUACAAAAACUGUUACAACGUGCUGAAUAAAGAUAUAUACUGAUCAACUGAGAUGCUGAUGCUGAGUCAUGCGCUGACACUGAUAGACUAGUUUCAAACAUCAUCAUAUUUCAAGGUUUGACCUUACAAUCUCCCCCAAUAUGAUGAUGUUCAAAACCAACUAGAUUAGAACACCUCUGGACAAGAGUUCUUCAUACUUAGCUUCAGCUUCUACUUUUACUGGCCAGUAGGGACUGUCCAGCAGCUUCUGUCUUCUAUUCAGCAAUUCCAUAGCAAUUAGAAUAUGAAAUUCUCCAGAAAGAUCUUGAUGGCUCAUGCACAUUUUUCUUAAGCCAACGAGAUGAGUUGUUGGAGCCCUUGGAAUCUCAGCAGUUCGCUGAAAACACAUUUUUCUGUUUUUGUCGAGAUAGAACAUUCCGUGUUCAGGAACAGAGAUAAACUGAUGUUGAACUGGCUCAACACCAAUGGGAAGAGAGUUGUUUAAUUCAGCAGUACCAAAAUUCAGAACCAACACAUCUUCACCAUCAACCUAAAACCUGGUUCUUCUGUUUCUUGGAAUUGAAGAGCUUGAGCCUUGCUGCUGAGGAUGUUCUUGGGGAACUAGGUCUAAACGCUGAACUUUCUUAAUAAGCAAGUGGAGAGCACAAGUCAAUUCUGAUGAAAGAGCUAAAGUUUGCUUGGAUGCCAGCUUGAGCAAUUCCAUCCACUCAGAGAGAUCAUAUUUAAUCAGCUCGUCUCUCUUGACAACUUCAGUGUAUGGGUGUUGAGGACCUUGACGAGUGAUCAGUAAAGUGAGAACUUUCUCGUUACGAGGCUUUGAUGCUUUGAAUUUAAUGAUCUUAUCACCGCUCACUCUUCGUUUAUGAACAUCUUGAAAUCUCUUUCUAUCAAUCCCGUCGAGAACACUAUCAGUCUUAGACUUACUGCUGCUGGGAGGAGGCUGAGAAGAUUUAGAUUUGGACUGAUAUUCUAAGAAUUUCUGCAUCUGAGCUUCAAAGGAUCCUUUGGCCUGAAGUUUAUUCUGAAUGAGAGAUUCAUCAGCUUGAGCAAUAUUCUUCAGAAGCUGAGCUUUAUUGGCUUCAUCAAGAAUUUGCUUAACUUGAUCAGGAGACAUGUUCCAUUCAGCCGCCAAAUUGGAUAUGCUGACAAUAGACUUAGGUUUCUUGCUGGGAGGAGGAUUGUCAGCGUGUGAAUAAGAACAUACAGUAUCAGCUACUUUACGCUUUCAAGACAGAGGAAGAAGAUCCUCACUGACAACAUCGGAGUCUUCACCUUGAACUGGUACCGUGGGAUCAAUGAAAUUCAUGUCCAACAUUUGACACUCAUCAUCCUGUUCUUCUUCAUCAUCAGGCUCACUAUUUUCAGUAGAUUUUUCAGUUUCAGCUUCUAUUUGUUUCUCAGACUCGUGCACAGGCUGUGGUGGCUCGGUCUGUUUCAGCACGUUCCCCUCAGAUACAUUCUUAACAGAAUCAGUUUCUCUCCCUUUUUGAGCAUCAUCAUCAUUUGGGCCAGGAGUAGGAGUUGAUAGAAUAACUCCUUUCAGUUGUUGAACAUCAGCUUCAAUACGAAGGAGACGCUGACUCAUGUCUUGAGUCAGUGUAAGAAGCUCAUUAAAGGCUGAGGAUGGGAUUUGGAUGAACUGAGUACCUGGAAGCUUUUGUGAUUGAUGCUCCUCCCCCUGAGAAGGUUGCUCCCCCUGAGAUGGUUGUGCCCCCUGAGCAGAUGGCUCCCCAUGAGCAGAUGGUUCCCCAUGAACCGAGUGAAUUUUUUCAGUGACGGAGAUGGUAUGGUGAGAAAGCUGAGGAGAGAUUUGACCAUCUCUUGGACUAGGAUCAUCUGGAAUGUCAGCAGUAGUGUUGUUUAUAUCAUCAGCUCCUUCGUCAGUGUCAGCGUUCAAUGAUGGAACUGUAUAAGGAUGUGCGAUCCACUCUCGCAUCCGAUCAGAAAUGUCGAUGUCAUUGGCUAGAGGAUCAUCUUGGUACAUUCGAACUGACAUUCGUGGGAAUGGGAUGGGGUUUCCAGAGUGUGAGUAAUAGGCCUCAACGAAAAAUUUAUCCAGAACAAGAGCAAUCCAGCGAGGAAAUGGAACAUGAUCAGCUCUUAUAUUGGCACGAAGAAGUUGAACAAGCUGAUCAAAGAAGAAGGCCCCAUAAUCAAGACGUUUGUUGAGAAGAAGAGAACAUACCACUUGUUGCUCAAAGGUACUCAGUUGAUCACCACUACGAGAUUUGUGACCCACGCACUUGCAAAGUGCUCCGGUGAAGAAUUUCCAUCCUGGAGUCAUACACUGACGCAAAAUGAGAUUUGAUCGAGCACCAGCUUUGGAGUGAUUGUAUCCCAAUUGAUCGAAAAGGCGUCGACAACGUUCAAUGGAUGGGAUCUCAGAGAAAGGUUCAAAGAUUGGCAACCUGAGAGCAGCACUAAGAAGAUCAGCAGUGAUGAAUACUGAGUGACGGCCAUGCCCAACGGUGCCGGAGAUAGCGUUAUUGUCGUUAUUGACUGAUUCAGAGUAGUAGAACUCGCAUAUUUGUUCUGGAAAGAAUUCUGAUGGAACCUCACUGAUAGUGUAUCGAAGUCUGCAAGAAACUAGAAAGUUAACAAAAUCUUCGAGUCCAAGACCUCGAUGAACAUCUGGUAUAUCAGGGUUGAAAACGACAUUAGUGGCUUUGAUGUAUAUGGGAAGAGGAGGAGAGUUUGGAGCAGGGAUUACUCAUCGUGAAGUGGAUGAGAAGGUAAAUAGGGAUGCCGCCAUUGAAGAAGGUUUGGAUUCUAGGGUUUUGAAAAGAAACGAAAGAAAUUUGAAUAAUGGAAGGAAGGUUUGAAAGAGAAGGGAAAGAGGUUUAAAUAUGGGACAAAACGGGUUUUAAAAGGUAAUAUUAAUCUUCUUUAAAAAUAACUGCGUAUCAUAACAAACUGUCAAAUCAGAAAAAUAGCCGUUGGGUAAAAGAGCCGUUGAACUGAAGAUGAAACGACAAUAAGUGUCUGCGGAAGCGCUGAGAUCAAUGUUAUGAAAGUUUCAUGCUGAAAGAUGGUUUACCGUCAAUUCAAGGUACAACUUGCUUGUUUAAGGUUAGCAAGGUGGUUGGUGCGUAUGAUAGAUACUAGUUUAAUUAUCUAACCAUCGACACAGAGUGUUGUGUCUUUAUCAGUGAGUGGUUCGUCUUACUGAAUCAUUAGACACUGAGUGAGAAGAAGGUGAAAAGAGGAUUGUUGCGUGUGAUAGACCUUGGUGUUUUGGUCUAACCAUCGGCAAAGACUGUUAGACUCUCAUCAGCGUGUGUUUUGUCACACUGAAUCACAGAAUCAGUGUAAGAUUGGUAAGAAAAGAUAGUUGCGUGUGAUAGACCUUGGUGCUUUAGUCUAACCAUCGGCAAAGAGUUUCAAGUUGUUAUCAGUGUAUGGUUUAAUACAGUGAAUCAUUCAACUUUAGAUUAGAAGAUUUGUAGAAGAGAUAGAGAUAAGAGAUCAAACCAAGUACUCAACAUGAAAAUAUCAUCAGUAUAUCAUCAUCGGCAAAAUGUACAUCAGCUUAUAAGACAGUAGCAAACAUUAGCAAAACUAAUUACAAAGUAAUCAUUCCAAGUUCUCCUAUAAUGUGAGCAGUUGUUUGAGUGUCCAGGGCCUUGGUGAAAAUAUCAGCUAGUUGAUCUGAAGUCUUGACAUGUUCAAGAACAACCUUGCCCUUCUCAACGUUAUCCCUGAUGAAGUGAUGUCUGAUCUCGAUAUGCUUUGUUUUUUAGUGCGGAACAGGGUUUUGUGUGAUUUGAAUGGCACUGGUGUUAUCACAGUAUAUGGGAGUCUUAGUGAAUUUGAGCCUAUAGUCUAGAAGCUGAUUCUGAAUCCAUAAGAGUUGAGCACAACAUCUUCCAGCUGCAACAUACUCAGCUUCUGCAGUCGAGAUAGCUACUGAUGUUUGCUUCUUGCUACACCAGCUGGUAAGACGAUUUCCAAGGAAAUGACAUCCACCUGAUGUACUCUUCUUGUCUAAGUUGCAUCCUGCAUAGUCUGAAUCAGUGUGUCCAAAAAGUUCAAAUGCUGAGUCACGAGGAUACCAUGGUGCCAAGUUCUGAGUGCCCUUCAAGUAUCGAAAAAUGCGCUUGACUGCCAUAAGAUGAGACUCCUUGGGAUUAGCUUGGAAUCGAGCACAAAGAAUAGUUCCAAACAUGAUAUUAGGACGACUUGCAGUGAGAUACAGAAGAGAUCCAAUCAUUCCUCAAUAAAGAGAGUGAUUGACAUCAGUACCAGUGGGGUCAGCGUGUAGCUUAUCAGUCUUGGACACUGGAGUGGAGGCCGGUUUGCAGUUACUGAGAGAGUACUUAACAAGGAGGUCAGUAAUAUAUUUACUUUGACAAAUUGAAAUACCUGAUUUUUGUUGCUGAACUUCAAGACUUAAGAAAAAGGUCAUCUUCCCCAUUAUGCUCAUUUCGAACCUUUGAGACAUGAUCUCAGCGAAUUCCUUGCUCAGUUUCUCACUUGGAGAGCCAAAGAUGAUAUCAUCUACAUAGAUUUGAACAAGUAUCAUGUCCGAGCCUUUGUUUUUGAUGAAAAGAGUGUUAUCGAUUGCUCCUUGUCUGUAUCCAUUUUCAAGAAGAUAUGAUGCCAACGUCUCAUACCAAGCCCUGGGAGCUUGCUUCAGUCCAUAAACAACUUUGUCUAGUCGGUACACAUAAUCUGGGUGAUCUUUGUCUACAAAGCCUGGGGGCUGACUGAGAAAUACUUCUUCUUCUAACACACCAUGAAGAAAUGUCGUUUUGACAUCCAUCUGAUAGACAAUGAAAUUCAUGUAGGAUGCAUAUGCGAGAAACAGUCUGAUUGCUUCAAUACGAGCAACUGGAGCAAAAGUCUCCCCGUAGUCAAUAGAUUCAAUUUGAGUAAACCCCUGAGCAACAAGUCUUGCUUUGUUGCGAGUAAUAAUACCAUCUUUAUCAACCUUGUUGCGAUAGACCCAGCGCGUUUCGGUGAUGGUCUUUCCUGAUGGUCUGGGAACAAGAGUCCAAACCUUGUGCCUUUCGAACUCAUUUAGCUCGUCUUGCAUGGAUUUAAUCCAAUCAGCGUCUUGAAGAGCUGAGUGAAUCUUGUCACGUAAGAUCAUUGAAACGAAAUUAACAUACAUGCAAAAAUUAUUAGAUACACGAGAUCUGGUUCGGACACCAUCAUGAAGAUUCCCAAUAAUUAGAUCAAUAGGGUGAUCUCGAUGUUCAUGAGCUGAAACUGAUUCCAGUGAAUUUGACGCUGAAGUGUUAUUACUGAGAGGAACAUCAGUUGGAGGAGACCCUUCAGCUUUAAGGGUUUCAUCAGCAUCUAAAAAAUGAGUUGUUGUGCUGACCACAGUACCUUGAUUUACAAAACUUUGGUCUGGAACAAUGGGAUCAGGAGUAAUAGCUUCUUCUUUAGGGUGAGAAACUUCACCAUAUGGGUAAGAGAGCAGCUCAUGAAAGAUAGAAGAGGAAUGAGCUACCUUUUCAUCAGUGAAUGAUUCUUCAUCAAACUUUACGUGAAUGGAUUCCUCAAUGCACUGCCUGUUCACAUGAAAAACACGAAAAGCUUUUGAAAUAGAUGAGUAUCCAACAAAAAUACCUUUGUCAGCCUUAGGCUCAAAUUUAGAUCUAGGAUCUCGCUGAUUGAGAAUAUAGCAAACGCAUCCAAACACGUGAAAGAAGGAUAUGUCUGGCUUUCGACCUUUCAGCAUCUCAUAUGGUGUCUUCUUGUGAACUUUGUGAAUUAGAGAGCGAUUCUGAGUAUAACAUGCUGUAUUAACAGCUUCAGCCCAAAAGGACAUAGAAAGAACAGCAUGUAUCAUCAAGGUCCUUCCUGCUUCAAUCAGUGUUCGAUUUCUUCGUUCAGCAACUCCAUUUUGUUGAGGAGUACGAGGAGCUGAGAAGUUCUGCCCAAUGCCUUUAAAAUCACAAAAGUCUUCAAGAAUUGAAUUUUGGAACUCAGUGCCAUGAUCACUCCUCAGCUGCUUAACUUUGAGACCAGUCAGUGUCUCAUUUUGACGAAUCAGUGAGAUAAUUUCCUGUGCAGCAUGACCUUUCUUCUUCAAGAAAACCACCCAUGUAAAUCGAGUAAACUCAUCCACAACCACCAGAGUAUACUUAUUUCCUCCUAGGGAACGAACAGGAAUAGGACCAAACAAGUCCAUGUGAAGUAAAUGAAGAGGAAAGAAUAUACUCGAACAUGACUUGGGCUUGAACGAAGACUUUGUUUGAUUUCCUUGCUCACACGCUGAACAUACCUUAUCUUUGACAAAACUGAAAUUUGGAAGACCUCUGACCAGAUCUUGAUUGGAUAUCUUAGACAGAUUUUUAAAAUUCAAAUGUAAGAACCUUUUGUGCCAAAUCCAGCUGAGAUUGGUUUGAGAUUUGGUAAAGAAGCAUUGCAGCAGUCCCUUGUCACUUGAGAACAUGUCGAGAACAUAUAUAUCAUCCUUUCUGCUUGCUGAGAGUACGAUGUUCUUGUCAAUGUUGAUGACUCUACCUUCCUUCUUUGUAAAAGAACCUCAUAAUCAGCAUCACACAAUUGAUCGAUUGAGAUAAGGUUAUGUUUGAGCCCCUUUACAUAUGAAACAUUCUGAAACACCACAUUGUUGCAUUUGAUGUGCCCAUAUCCUUUAGUGAACCCCCUUCCAUUGUCUCUGUAUGUAACUGCAGGACCACUUUUCUUGACAUAGUCUUCCAGGAGAGACUUGGAUCUUGUCAUAUGUCUUGAGCAACCACUGUCUAAGUACCAAAGAUGCUCUUGACCCUGCAGUGCUGAGAAACUAGUUAGAACACACUGACCCAUUGUAAAAUGGGUCAUUCACAAAGUUAUUCGAUAAUAAAUUAUAACAUUCUUUAGGAAGACAGUUUAAAGAAUUUGACUUAAGAGUCCAUUUUUCAUUUCUAACUUUGAUGUUAUCAACUCUUAAAGAUGUUUUAUCAAAUGAGCAUUUACUGAUCUUAUGAGAGGUAUCACCACAUCUGUAACAAACUCUAGUACCAAAGUUCUUCUUGGCGAGCAUAUUUCUAGACUUAACACAAUUAGAUUUGUAAGAUCCACCAAGUGAACUUUGACUCCUUUUGUUUGUCAUUGAAUCAUGACUGAAUUCAGUGUUAGAUAAAUUAUGAUCAGUGAUAGAUGAGGAGCUGGCAUCAAUAUCUGAUUUGGACUUAUUCACUGAAGCAUUACAAUCAGGAAAAUGCUUAAGUUGUUCAUGAACAGCGUGAAAUACCCCAUUUGAGAUAGGGAAGGCAAUAAUAUUCUCAGUGAGAGGAGUUUGGUCUCACAAGAUGUGUAGGGUAAAAGGUAGGAUCAAUUCCGGUAAUUUCAAUAUCACACUCAGUGACACCAUUAGAAUCAGUAACACAAUAUUCAUCAAUUAGACUCUGAUUAAUAAAAGUGUUACUGAUAAACUUGUUUUUGAAAUUAUUUUUCAACUCAUUCAUGGAAUAAAAUUCAGAUUCUUUUUCUUGAGAUUUAAAAACCUUUUCAGCUUCUGCAAAAUUAACCCCAAGAAUUUUUCUCACAAGAGUGUCGUAUUUGAGCAGAAAUAAUAUAAUUAGCAUUUUUGUGAGAUUUAGCCCAAAUUUGUAGCACAGUUUGUUCUUUGUUCAAGAGAUCUUUAACAUUAUCAAUUUCAGUAGACAAAGAUGAGUUUGACAAACUAGUGAUUCUAAGAUUUUCCUGAGUAGAAUAAAUAAUGUUAUUUUUCAUGGAUAAUUCAGUUUUAAGAAGAUCAAUUUGAUUUUGCAAAUCCCUUAUUGUUUGAUUCUUCUUAGAAUUAAGAACACCCAAAUACUCAAACAUUUUGAUUUUUUCAUUCAUUGAAUAGGAAACAAAGUUUUUAACCUGAUACAUUGAAGGAGAAUCAGUGUUGUGCUUCCUGGAAUUUUCAACCGCAUCAGACAUAUCAGCAUCAAAUGUACUUGUGCUGUCUUCACAUUCAUCAGCAUCUUCUGUUUUAGCCAUCAGACAUUUAACUUCAUCAUCUGAUGACUCCUCAUCAGUCUUCCAUUUUUCUUCUUCAGCAACAAGAACUUUAUGUUCCAAGUUCUCUGCUUUCAGCUUUUCAACCAAUUUGUUGUACUUCUGCUUCCAGUAUUCGUCCGAGCUUUGGGUUCUUUGCUUGCAUUCUUUUGCAAAAUGGUCAGUGCUACCACAGUUAAAGCACUGAGCUUUCCCUUUCUUUUCAGUAGCUGGUUUCUUGUCAGCAUCUGACCGUUUGAAGGAUUUCCCUUUCAUCUUCUUCUGAAACUUUGAGAAAUUACGGCCUGAUUUCUCAAAAGUCUUCACAAUGAACGCCGCACUAGCAACAACCUUUUCCAGACUAUCAGUAUCACUUUUAGUAGAAUCAGUGUCUGAAAAGGAUUCAGUGUCUGACUCGGAUUCUUGCCUUUUGGUUGAAAACAGUGCCACUGAUGACUCACGCUGAGCAUCUUUCAUCAGCUCCUUUCUUUGGAGCUUUGAUUCCUCAUAGUAUCGAAGAUUUCCAUAAAGACUUUGUAAAUCCAUUGUGCUGAUUUUCUCACUAUUUUUCAGCACAUCAACAUGAUUUUCCCAACCUGCACCCAAAGAAUCCAAAAACUUCUGCACUAGAACAGUUCGAUGCUUUAACUGAUCUAGUCUUCGCAAAUCAUUAACAAGAGUAUUAAAUCUGUUAAAGGUUUGAGUCAGGGUUUCACCUUUCUUAGCAAAAAAAUGUUCAUACCUUCUGUUUAGAUCAUUUAUCUGGGUAGCAUUGACUUCCUCAAUACCUUCAAAAGACACAGUCAGUGUGUCCAUCAUUUCUUUUGCUGAUAUGCAGUUUUGAACAAGCCCAAAGAUAUUAUAUGGUAAAGCAUAGCUGAUUGCUGCCCGAGCACGAACAUCAAGCCCAUUCUUUCUUUUGUCAUCAGAUGUCCAGUUUUCUUUAGGUGUUUUCUUCAUGACACCAUCAGGAGCAUUGUUUUUCAGAGGCUGAUACAUUGGAACAUAUGGACCAUUAUUGAUAAUGUCCAACAUGUCUUCAUCUACAGAUUCCAAAGCAUACAAAGCUUUGAUUUUCCACAUAGCAAAAUUGUUUUCAUCAAAUUGAGGAAUUUUAGUAGAAGAAUGAUUUGAAGAGUUUAUAGAAGAAGAUGAUGAAGCCAUUUGUUUGAUAAGAGAACACCGCUCUGAUACCAAUUGAACGACCCAAAGAUCAAACAACUUAUCAAACAAUGACAGAAAAUAAGAACAAUAAAGAUUCACAAAGAAAACUUUUCACUAAGAAUGAUAAUCUCACAAAGAGAUUAUCGUAUGUACAAAGCGGCUAUUAGGGUUUGUGAAAACGUACGUCAACACAAACUGAUACAAAAGAUUAUAUACUACUAUUCUAGACAAUCCCUAUAAAUCAGGGAUAUGCCAGCUAACUAAUUUACGCUAACUAAGGAAACAAGAUAAAUACAAAAACUGUUACAACGUGCUGAAUAAAGAUAUAUACUGAUCAACUGAGAUGCUGAUGUUGAUGCUGAUGCUGAGUCAUGCGCUGACGCUGAUAGACUAGUUUCAAACAUCAUCAUAUUUCAAGGUUUGACCUUACAUAGAUGUUCAAGUUCACCCCACAAUAGGCCUCUUAUAAUAGGCUACAACACAUGAUACUAUCUAUAUGGCUACUUCAUAUCUCGAUCUUUGGAUAUAUAGAUACUCAAUCCUGAUCCCUUGCAUUGUCACCUGCUUCAUCAAGGAUCAUCUGGAAUGCUCUUGCCUUUAGCUUUGGUGGUACAUUUGGCCUUGCUGCUUCAUUUUUCUUCGGGCAAUCUUUUGACAUGUGCCCCUUGUCUCUGCAUCUAUAGCAUACCUUAUCAUUAAGCGUACAAUCCAUGGAAUAGUGACCGAUACUCCCACACUUGUGUAACAAGUCACUUUUCCAUACCAUUUCCCAUAGUGCUUCUUUUUACACCUCUCACACCACUUUUCUUCAUUGUUAUCCCCAUGCCUCUUGUUGUUGGGGUCAUACUUUGGGAAUCUAUUUUUCUUGUCAGAUCUUGAAGAUUCCUCAAAUAUCCUCUUCUCGCCAACUUCAACCUUGUUGGUGGUUCUGCCUUUGAUCAUCUCUUCGACAGACUUAUCAACCCAGAUGGCUGCCUCAAGAGUAGGUGACUGGCGUACUGUAUAGUGUACUCCCAUGGUAGUCCCUUUGUAUACUUAUCGAUUUUUGUUAGCUCUUUAGGGACGAUGCGGAAAGCAAACUCCAUCUGGUCCAUGAAGGCAUUGGUAUAUUCCUCAAUGGACAUGUUGCCCUUUCUCAAUGUUAGAAACUAAUUCUCCAGCUCUAGCAUGUUUUGGGAUGAGCAGAACUUACAUUUAAAGUGUACCAAGAAUUCUUCCCAUGUCAAGUGUAGCAGCUAAUUGGUAUAUUCCUCAAUGGACGAUGCGGAAAGCAAACUCCAUCUUGUCCGUGAAGGCAUUGGUAUAUUCCUCAAUGGACAUGUUGCUCUUUCUCAAUGUUAGAAACUAAAUCUCCAGCUCUAGCAUGUUUUGGGCUGAGUAGAACUUACGUUUAAAGUGUACCAAGAAUUCUUUCCAUGUCAACUGUAGCAGCUAAUUGGGGCUGAUGAUCUUUCCCAAAGUGUUCCAUCAACAAACAACCCCACCCCUAAACUGACGCACAACAUAUGUGGUUUGUAGCUUGCCCUUACAACCACAUGUUAUGAAAGCUAGCUCCAUCUCAGAGAUCUAGUCCAUAACUCUAAUUAGGUCUUCUUUCUUAGUGAAUGUUGAUGGUUUGCAAGUUAUGAAGUCUUUAUACUUGCAUCCAUUUCUUUCAAUCCCUUCAUCUUGGUUAUUUCUUCUAACCACUGGCGAUUCAGCUUGGCUUACGGUUUUACUAUAGUUUCCUUCUUCUAACUGUCCCUCAUUCAAUUUAGGUUGCAUAAAUGGCAAAGUAGGUUUAUCGCUAUUAAGCAACAUUUGCCUCAUCUCCUCCCUUUGUUCGGCCAUCAUAGCACAAAUCAUUUCUUGGACUCCUGCCAUCGUGAUUAGCUCGGGUGGAGCUGAUACCUCUAGUGCAUGCUCAAUCACAGACCGCUGAUUAGCAUUAGCCUUCCCAUUAGUGUUUCUGAAUCCGCUUCGUCCCACCAUGUCGAUCUAUACACCAAAUUAGACAUUCGGUGUGUAGUGAUGAGAAUUUGGAUACGAAAGCUUUAUUUACGAUAGACAUAUAAAUCUCCUUAUUACUCCGAAAAGUUACAUGUUAGUUCUAAUACCAUAAUUAAACAUUUAGAAAUAUGAACACAUAAAGUUUCCAGAUCUGAUCGGCAACAGACCAUAGAUCCAAUCAAACAAUGGUAUCAUAAAGCAUACAAGGUAUCUUAUGGCAUAAAUCAUUUAGCACAUAAAAGCAAUUUAGGCAUCUUCCUUAAAUAAUCUAGUGCUUGUGUCUAUGCAGGUGUACUACCUAAAAUAUAUUAGACAUACUCCUCACUAUCAUCGCUUAACAUUCUAAGUUUAAGCCUAGAAAUUUUCUACAAAUUCUUAGUUUGCUUAAACUAAUGCUCUGAUACCGACUGUGACAUCCCCAAUUUUAUGGUCAUUUUAAAAAUUUUAUUUAUGCUUAUUUAAAAAUCAAAGUAUCCAUUUUAAAGGAUAAUAUUGCAGAAUUUGUUCCCAGAAAACAUGAUAAAUAUAUUAUCAAAGCAUGUCCGAAGAAAUGUAUUUUAUUUAUAUUAAAACAUUGGGAUGUCAUCGUCAAUACAGAAACAUAAGCAUAAACAAACCUUACAUUCAUGUACACUAAUGAUUUACAUUUCCUUUAAUCUCUCAGUGUAAUAUGUCUUCGUAUCGAUACAUGCGAUACAAAUAAACUGAGUGGGUCAGGUUCAAAAACUUGGUGAGUACAUAGGGUUUCCAACCCACAAUAAUAUAAUUAUUAUGUUUAAUCAUCAAACAAUUAACCCAACUUCCCAUCGCCAUUAUCUUAUUUAUUCUUAAGGAUCUAUCCUAAGAACCAUCUACUCUUCAUUCAUUCAUUCCUAAGGAUUGUCUUAAGGAAUAGGUACGAAGUCCAUCACUUCCAGGGUUUAUCUAAUAGGCAUUAAGUCCAUUGUUGCCAAUGUUAUUUGUUAGGCACUAAGUCCAUAACUGCCAAUGUUCAUCUAUAGGGCACUAAACCCAUAGGUGUCAACGUUCAUUUAUAAGGCACUAAGUCCAUAGCUUCCAACGUUAUUUGUAAGGCACUAAAUCCAUAGCUGCGGAGGUUUUUAGAGUACAUCUGGUGAACAUGUCGUUCACAACACCUACAGGUUGCGAGCCUGCUAGCGUUCCACUGGACUAUCUAGAAUAGUCUGUGGUUGUCAUCUAUACUUUGCUAGAUGACUGGGCCAUCGCUUGGGUAAAGGCUUCUCAUCAUCUUUCACCUCUCUUCAUCUAUAUCAUCUUUCAUCUCUCAUCUCAUCUUUUAUUUAUCCAUCUUUACCCAAUAUAAGUAUAGGUAUAAAGUAUGUAUAUAGUUUAAAUCGAAUAAAAAAUAUAUCUUUUGUUCAUCCAGCAUAGACAUCAAGAACACAGAUAAUAUGCACACAUAGCAUGUAAUUUAUAUUAAAUACUUCAUAUCUAUGUGUAAGAUGAAAGUAACUGUGCACUCAAGUGUUAAGGUGAUGACUCCAAACUCGGACAACGCUUCGCUUCUAACAAUUUUAUUUUCCUUCGAUGAAACCUAGUAUCAUUACCACUAGAUUUUACUCUAAUAUUUAUUGCGACUAAUUAUUAGUCUAGAUUCACGGGCGAUAUUGUUUUAUAAGUGUUAAACAAUACUUUUCAACUACUAUGUACAGACAGGGACCAUACAUGAAACACCGACCAUUUUGGCAUUUAAGCUGUUCUAAAAUCCAACAACCCUAUACCACCCUUCAAACCGGAUUCCCCGUACCGCGAGCAAAUAUAAUGUAUGAUAAUAACACUUUAUAUUUUAUCAUACUUAGCACAUAUAUUGUUUAUAGGUUCAUAAUAACGAUAAUGAACUUAUACAUAAGCUAUACUUAAAGUAGGGUAAGCGUAACAUACUUAUAAAGGGGUUUGACUAGGAACCGGGCUCUGCGGGGUAGAACUUCUGAGCCGAAAGCUCUUCUUCUCGGAGCCUUCUGGCGCUAUGGGGAUUGCCUUUAGCACUUGGGAAGUAUUAAGGAAGGAAGGGAGAGUUUUGGAGUAUUGAGAGAGAAAGAAGGGAUAUGGUGUGAAGAAAUGGGGUGCUCCUCGCACCUAUUUAUAGGGGGCAGCUUCGGACUAUGCUAGGCGUAGCCUCGGAGUAAGUUGCGCAUACGAGGGGGCAACUAUCAGCUCCACAUGAGAGACCGUUGGGAGAAAGAAAGGGUUUGAAUGGCGCAAUGUGGAGAUAGCUGAGACCACGUAUGCGAGUACACGGGACGUAAUGUCGGCUGCGCGGGGCGUACUCGUGCCACGUGUCACCCUCGCAUCCUCUUAUAAAUUAAUAAACUUCUAAAUUCCAUAACUUUUGCAUACGAGCUUCGUUUUUGACGUACUUUAUAUCCAUAUGUAGGUAUCGAUGGGAUCUACAACUUUCAUUUAGACUAUGUCGACUAAUUUUGACUUUAUAAAGUUAUAUUUUAACAAGCUUAGACAUAUAAAGUCCGUUAAAAUUUCAUAACUUUGUCAUCCAACGUCCGUUUUCAUCUGUCUUUAUAUCUUUGAGUUCCUAUUAAUGAGAUAUUCAAUUCUCAUUUAGAUUGUGUCGGCUAGAAAUCGAUCGAUCUAAAAUUCGAAUUCUGGGUUGUGCACUGCUAUGCUAAAUCUUAGAAAAAUCAUAACUUCCUCAUACGAAGUCAGAUUUGGAUGUUCUUUUUAUGCAAGCUCUCGUUUAAAAUAUACUACUAAUUUCGUUUAGAUCGCUAAGGUUGAAAAGUAAUUUAUCAAAAAUCCACUUUUUACCUUACGCGGUGUUGUUCCGAUUUAGCUGUAAAACUUCGACGAGUCAUAACUUCUUCGUUAUAACUCGGAUUUCAGCGUUCUUUAUAUGUAUGGAAUACUUGUGACAUAUACUAUAACUAGGUUAAGAUUAUUUACUAUAAAUGAUCUUCUAUUAAAAAGUCAUUUUUGAUGCUUAUUGUGUGUCUGAAUUGACUAGCCCGAAUCUUCAGAUGUUACAGUUUUCUUCUCUGGUCUGCCCACAUCUAGUUCUCUCUCUCUCUCUCUCUCUCUCUCUCUCUCUCUGCUCAAGUGUUCUUCUUCUUCCUCAUGAUCACACCACAAAACCACCGGCACAUCCAUGAAAAACUUUUGUGAAUCUCAAGCACCACCGCCACUAAAGUUGUAACACCACCACUAAUUCGACACUACCUUGAAGGAAAACAAAAUAUUAGGAGAUAUCAGUCCCUGUAUGGAAGAAAAAAUAUAUAAAAUCUCGAACCCCGGUGCUAGUUCCUUGAAAACAUCCAUCUUGAAGCAAGAAAUUAGUUUAGAAAGUGAUAAUAAGAACAUAAGGAUAAGCAAUUUCAACAACCAUCCACCACGUUUAGCCCUACAAACUCAGUUUCCAAAUAGAUUUGAGAAUUGUGAUAUGAAAUUAAUGCUAAUUGAUUCCAUUGUUCUGAGUUUCGAUGAAGUUACUUGAGAACAUAGUAAUAAGUCCAUAAUAAAUGUGUCGGCUAAAGUCCGAUGGCCACCAACAAAUUUCCGACCACCUUUAUCACCACCACAAUUGGGUCAACAAUCACCCUUGUAAUUCUAAAGAUUUAAUUGCAAUGUACAGAGUUUCUUCUUUGUCGGUGUGAAUUUAAGAACUGGGUUUGUUAAGAACUAUAAAAACUCGAGCAUGUAUCGGAUUUUCUUCUCUUCGUGUUGUUCUGGGGUAUGCGAUUAAGAGUUAGGGUUUAUCAAGAAAUCUUGAUUAGAACACACACACAUAUAUAUNGAAUCAAAAGGGGAGGGGGAUUUCGUUUGUGUAAUUUAGUUAUAAGGGUUAGUUUGAAGAGAGAGAGAAGUGGAGCACAACCAUGGCCGUUUUUUUGCAUGAGUAAGAAGGGGAUGAAUAUUUCGGGGAUGGUUUCAGUAAGAGAGAGAGAGAGAGAGAGAGAGAGAGAGAGAGAGAGAGAGAGAGAGAGAGAGAGAGAGAGAGACCUCUUUUUUAGAUUAAUAAAAUAAAAAAAGGAUUUGAUUUACAAAAAAAUGAAAGAAAAAUGAAAAUUAAAAACCCUAAAGGUAUUAUAGUCAUUUCAAUAUUUGGAGGGACUAAAUACACAAUCAAAUUAGCUUAAAAGGACCACCAAUCCAAAAAAAAUUGAGGUUUGUACUAAACCUCACAAAAAUGUAUACCACAAGGACCAUUUUCGCAAUUUUCUCUAUUUUUUAUGAUUUAUAUUUUUUGAAGUUUUGUUGCAAUAUAUUGUUUAAUGGUUGUUUUACAAUUUUGUACACUUACAUUUUUUUGAUGUUUUAUUUGAAUAUAUUUUUUUAAUAGCUUCUUAACAAUUUUUUUUUAUUUGCUAAUGAUUUCUUGACCCUUAUAAUAGUAAUUCNAUAUAUAUAUAUAUAUAUAUAUAUAUAUAUAUAUAUAUAUACACUAUAAAAUCCAAUCGAACAAAAGAAAAUUACCGCCACUGUGAUCCAUAGAUGAAUCGACGUCCUAAUCACUUGACGUCGUGCCUAGAAAGUUGGUACCAUGGAUCUAUUGACAAUCAAUUUCAAAGAAUUGAUUUUGGAGAACUCGAUUCCUGGCCAACUAUGCAUUUGUGAUCCACAGACAAAUUGAUUUUUACCCAAUUAAUGAUGAACUAAUGAUGUUUGAUGGAUUUGGAGGGAGGUUGGAAGGAGACAAUGAGGAAGAAUGUGAGUGAUGAGGUGAUGUAACGAUAAAAGGAAGGAAGAAUAGAUAUUGUUCAAUGUUAUGUUGAUGGUCGAAGAUAAGGUGGGUCACUAGAAGGCGGAGGGAGAUGGUCGUUGGAGGAGUUAGAGAGGUGGCAGAUUGAGAGAGGAAGAAUAGAUAUUGUUCAAUGUUAUGUUGAUGAACUAAUGACUUUUAUUCUUUUUUAUUUGGGCAAAUUGCAAAAAAAAAGUCACUAUAUUACCACAAAAUUUCGAUUUUGAUACUGAGUUAUUUUUUUCGCAAUUAUGUCAUUAUAUUUACAAUUUUGUUUCAAUAUCAACCAAAUGACCAGUUCUUCCUAUUCUCCCGGUAAACACUUUUUCCGAAUUGCAAUAAAGUCACUAAGUUUACCAAAUUUUUGAUUUUGACACCGAGUUUAAAUUUGCAAGAAAGUCACUAUAUUACCACAAAAUUUUGAUUUUGACAUCGAGUUUUUUUCUCAAUUAUAUCAUUACAUUUACAUUUUUGUUGCAUUUUCAACCAAUUGUCCAGUUCAUAAGAUGUUAUUGUGGUUUAGAAGCUCAAUUUAAAAGGUCGAUUUGUACAACAAAUAAAUGAAGGUCGGUCCAAUGGUUCAAACUCACUUACAAGUCAGUGAAAAUAGUAUAAUCACACUUUUAGGAGAUGUUAUUAUGGUUUAGAAGCUCGAUUUAUACAACAAAGAAAUCAAUACCCCUACAAGUCUGAUUUGGUGGUUCUAACUUUAAGCAUCACAUGGAUCGACAUUGUAGGGGUCUUCAUUUACUUGUUGUACAAAUCGAACUCUUAAACCGCAAUAACAUCUCUUGAAUGGGUGAGUAUGCAAUUUUCAUUGACUUUUAAGUGAGUUUGAACCACUAGAUUAAUCUUUAGAUGCCAUAAGUAAAGAAAUACUCUUAUAGAAAUUAAACAUAAAACAUUAUAAUAAAAAGUUUCACCUUUUAUAAAAUCAAUCAUUUUUAUAAGAAAUUCACAACACACACACACACACACACACACACACACACAUAUAUAUAUAUAUAUAUAUAUAUAUAUANNNNNNNNNNNNNNNNNNNNNNNNNNNNNNNNNNNNNNNNNNNNNNNNNNNNNNNNNNNNNNNNNNNNNNNNNNNNNNNNNNNNNNNNNNNNNNNNNNNNNNNNNNNNNNNNNNNNNNNNNNNNNNNNNNNNNNNNNNNNNNNNNNNNNNNNNNNNNNNNNNNNNNNNNNNNNNNNNNNNNNNNNNNNNNNNNNNNNNNNNNNNNNNNNNNNNNNNNNNNNNNNNNNNNNNNNNNNNNNNNNNNNNNNNNNNNNNNNNNNNNNNNNNNNNNNNNNNNNNNNNNNNNNNNNNNNNNNNNNNNNNNNNNNNNNNNNNNNNNNNNNNNNNNNNNNNNNNNNNNNNNNNNNNNNNNNNNNNNNNNNNNNNNNNNNNNNNNNNNNNNNNNNNNNNNNNNNNNNNNNNNNNNNNNNNNNNNNNNNNNNNNNNNNNNNNNNNNNNNNNNNNNNNNNNNNNNNNNNNNNNNNNNNNNNNNNNNNNNNNNNNNNNNNNNNNNNNNNNNNNNNNNNNNNNNNNNNNNNNNNNNNNNNNNNNNNNNNNNNNNNNNNNNNNNNNNNNNNNNNNNNNNNNNNNNNNNNNNNNNNNNNNNNNNNNNNNNNNNNNNNNNNNNNNUAUAUAUAUAUAUAUAUAUAUUGAGAGAAAACUUUGAAGAAACACACUUGAACAAAUGUUAGAACAAGUUAUAUAAUGCGGAAUAAAGUUUAACUCAUAGGAUCAUAAAGCUCAACAAUAAUAAGAAGUUAGAGUUGUUAGAUAGUUAGAUGAUUAGAUGUGGAAAUGUAAUGACGAAAAUGUAAGGAAAUAUAAAUGACAACAAGAUAUAUAUCAAGUAAACACUAAACUGAUUCUUAACAAGAUUUUCAAUCAAACACAAGUUAGUAGAUGUGAUCAGUUUAAGUGAUUGAAGUCACAAAGACUUGGUCCGAAGGAGAGUUUGAGAGUUAGAUCUUGAAUAUAUGAUUAUAAGUUCAGAAAGAUCUUGAGGAUAUGAGCGAAUUCUGGUAGUAAGUAAUGAAAGAAGAAAUGUGAGAUAAGAGAUGUAAGAUAUAUUUCAUUUGAAAUGGAGAACUCUAUUUAUAGAGUUCCGAGAACAUACAAAGAGAAAUAAAUAAGACUAUAAUUCAGAAGAAGUGUCCAUGCAAGGCACACUGGACAAUACAUAGGACAAAAAAAAAACUAAGACUUUGUUCCAUAUGAGAUAGUUGUGGAUGGCUUCAACUCUUCGCAUUGCGGUAGCAAAACAUCAUUUCGGUAGUGAGGAGGACUUCAUAUUGAGGUUCAAGAGGGUCACUUUCUUGAUUCAAUAAUAUAUAUAUAUAUAUAUAUAUAUAUAUAUAUANNNNNNNNNNNNNNNNNNNNNNNNNNGUCAUAUAUAGAUAUCUUAUUUUAUAUAAAACUAUCUUUUAUCUACAUUGUAACUAGUUUAUUAAGAUAUGAAUAUAUAAAUAUCUUAUUUUAUAUAAAACUACAUUUUAUAUAAAUUGAACUAGCUUAUUAAGAUAUAAAUAUAACUUAUAAAUAAUCAUACUUUGUGAUAUAUUUCAUAAGUUGUUAUUUCUCCAAUAAAUAUUAUUUCCACAAAUAAUAAAUUCUCAAUUAAUAAAAUAUUAUUUCCGUAAAAUAAUAAUUUUCCAAUUAAACACAAGUGUUGAUAUAUUUAUUAAUAAUCAAAUUAUACUAAUAAAUAAUCAAUUGACGAUAUCUUUCUAUAUGGUAUGACCCUAUAGGAUCAUAUAUUAUUAACAAUAUCAUUCUAUAAUGACUCUUGGGCAUACUAGAUCUUUCAAUCUCCCACUUGCGUAAGACUCAUCAUAGAUUGAUAUAGAUAGUGGUGAACGUCUAGCAUCAUUUCAUUGCCCAGAAUAAUAUAUGAUGAAAAAUGCCAUUCAUCAACAUCUAAUUCACAAAAGCUCUAAGCUUCAAUUGAUGUAUUAAGGUAAGUUUACCAAUUAUCCCUUUAUUACAGACAUCCUGUUGAACAUGAGCCUUGGAUCGCAAUCAAUCUCACUUGUAAUUCAACUUUGGGUAACGCACAUUCGAUGUCUAACUCUCAACACAUAAGAGGAACAAAUCCCAUCUUGACUACAUAAGCCUCUUGCAUAGUUCACAUCAUACCCAAAUAUGACUUUUAUAACUGCCCGGUCAAGGAACAACAUUUGGUCAUAUCAAAGCGCAACACUCCCUACACGUAAGUCCCACUAUGUGUUUAGGUUUUAAGGACACAAAGAUAGUACCUUUUAAUCAAGUAUCACUCAUAACUGUGAUCUAUGAGAUGAUCUUGAUGUGGGUCCGUUCAAUACAAGUUCUCUGACAAGUACCUAUGAAACUUAGUUACAACUUCUUGCCUACUUUCAUCUGGUAAGAGUCAACCAAUCCAUUUCAUAUUAGUCUUCAUAAUUGCUCCCACAAUUAUGAUCGACUAUGAACAUUUAGAAUAAUAAUAUGAUUCAUGGAUUAAACAUGUUAAUAUACUACACAACAAGUAUUAAUGUAACGAUCAUAUCCCAGUAUAUCAAAAAAUUAUUUAAUAGUUAUUAUUACAAUGUUCCAAUAUCCAAAUACUAGAAUAAUAAAAAUCUUAUGGAUGAAGUGUGACCACUCAUACUCAGCUUAAAAGAAAAGUCUUUAUUAACGGGUUCAACUAAAUUUAAUUUGUGUGAAUUUUGCGAAUACUACAUCUCCAUAUUUGAACUUUACUCUAGGUAUAGUUAAAUAUCUGGGAGAAUAUGAUAUGUGUUCUUUCGUGACAUAGAGUCUCUUAGCUUGAUUAAGUGAACUCUCGAAGUCACAAAGAUUUCUAUGUGAUCCUUUAAUGGUAGAAAUCAACAUAGUUUUUCAAUGAACUCAUUCAUCCAAUCGUAUUUGACUUUAACUUCUGAAAAGUAGUGUUUUCUUAUUUAGUAGAUUGUGUUAUAUUUUUUUGCUUGGACCUAAUUCCAACUAAACUUACUCUUCAUUCCAUAAUGAAUUCAUAACCCAAUUAUAAUUCAUAAUUAUCUCUAUUUAUUUAGGAAUCAAAAUCCUAUGUAGCUCUUUAUAUUAAGAUUUUAUUCUAAACUAAUUAUCUCAUAUACAUUCUCUUAGCUCUUCUUAAGUGCUUUUAGAAUGUUCUCAAAGUCAUAUAGUGACUUAACCAUGUAUUUAGUUUUGUAUCUCAUGAUAUGACAUAAAUGAUGGAUUCAUUUGACAAUCAAAUAGAAUAUAGAUCAUUUUAUCUAGCUCAAACCUAUGUGCUAGAUCUAUUUGAGACAAGCUCAAAAAUAGUGUCAUGUGACAAUGUCAAGAAUCUUCCAAAGGAAUCUUGUAUCUUGAUCUCUUUCAAGAUAUUGUCAUUUCAAAAAGAAUUUUAAAACCCUUAACAUUCAUAUUUAUUUAUCUCUUAUAGAUUUUACAUUCAAAGAAUGUAUCUUUUCAUUCCUAAGUCUUUCAUUUUAGAAAUACUUUCCGAGUCAAGGUGAAAACCACCUUGCAUAGUCGGAAUGUCAUGUCAAAUGAUUAAGUAUGUCUCUUUCAUACAAGAUUAGGAAUAUCACUAUCCUCCCACUAGUUCUUAGUAAACACACACACACGUUCUUUUUCAUUUUGAUAUUAAAGCAUACCUGUUAUUGUUGAAACAUGAAGUGACCCUUUAACUUAGUCUAUCACAGCCCACAAGGAUCCGCAGUCAAGCUCUCAUCAGCAGCCUCAUCUGAAGUCAUUUAUCCAACCGCAAUCUUACUUACUUUACUUAGUUUAAUUUUAUCUAUCUUUUCAGUAAUACUCUCUGUUGUCCAGUAUGUCUUGCAUGGCUACUCUUAGAGAGUGGAUCAAAUGUAAUUAUUGAUUCUCUAUAUAUAGAGCUCAUUCUUUCACAGUUUAUAAUUGAAUCUUUCACAUCUAUCAGUCUGAACUAUCUUCAAGUAUAUCAAUUAAAUUUCUCUUACACAUCUCAUAUAUUUCUUACUCUCUAAAUCCUCUCGAACCUAAAUGAUAAUUACUUCUCUUCGGAGCAAGUCAUUCUUGACUUUAUCACUAAGCUUGAUCUCACUCACUAACUUGAUCUGAAUGCAUUCCAUGUUAUGAAUUAACUUAUGUGUUUACUUGAUAUAUCACCUGCUGUCAUUUAUGCUUCCUUACAUUUCCGCAACUAACAAUCUAACUAUCUAACUCGUUAACUUAUUAUUGUUGAGCUUUUAGAUCCUUUGAGAUUAACUAAUUCCGUAACUUUACUUGUUCUAACGUUUGUUCAAGUGUGUCUCAAGUUUUUCUGUCAACAAUUGGUAUCAGAGCCAUAGUGGUUGCUUUUUGAAAAACAAAACUCUGAUUUUCAAAGGGCCAUCUAUACCACUGAAGCUCAUUUCUUAAAACAAAAAAAACAAAAAACAAGGAAGAAUGGCACAAACACUUUCUCUGAAUGUUUCCAACAGUGUUGGUGGUUCAAAUAAAGCUCCAAUAUUGGUGGCAAAUGAAUACCAUCACUGGUCUCAAAGAAUGGAAAGAUACUUAAGGAGACUUGGUAGAGAUGUAUGGCGAUCUGUUGAAGAAGGACCACAUGUCCCUAUUCUUACACCUGUUCAAACUGAUGGCGCCAUAGCCAGACUAAGAGGAGGAAAACUAGUCAUGAAUCAUCCCACCAAAGAUGAUCUUAAUAAAAUGGAAAAUGAUGUUGCUUUUUAAUGAAAUAUAUUGUGGAGUUGCUCCUGACAACUUCGACAUUAUCAUAAACUUUAAAUCAGCAAAAGAGAUCUGGGAUGUUCUCAAGAACUUGUAUGAAGGCUCAGAACAAGCUCAAGAUAAGAAGCUUACAACUGCACUCAAUGAAUUCAACAGCUUCAAAACUCAUACUGGCGAAAGUUUAGAAGACUCUUUUAAAAGGUUCAACCUGAUAGUCACUAAGUUAUCAAAUGUUGGCACCAUCCGUAGUAACCAUGAAACAAACCUUCAAUUUCUCAACGGUUUGGGAAGACAUUUGACUACUGCUAAAAUGAUAGUUCAAGGAGAUAGAAAGAUUCAUUCCCUGUCUCUCUACAAGCUCUAUGGGGAACUGCAAGCACAAGAAUCCACUGUAAUCAAAGACUGUGCUGAAUUCGGAGGACCACUUGCUCUUGUAAAACAAGCUCCUCAUAAUCAAUCUUACUCUCCCUCGUAUGACACUACACCAUAGUCAUACGAAGCUGACUCAGAGUAUGAUGAUGAAGAAGAAUUUCAGAAGGCUAUUGCUCUUGUUAGUAAACAGUUCAACUGGCUGCCACCUCCCUCCUUUUGCAAGAAUCAACAAUUCAACAAACCUCCUUUCAACCGUAACUUCAACCCACAAAACAAUCACUCUCAUUAUCCUAAAAGCUCUCACCCACCACCUCAAUCUCAAAACACUCAACCAAAGGAGGCACCGCAGUCCAUUCAAACCUCUGUCUCCAGUACUCCUUUAGAAGACAAAAGUGAUGUUGUAAUAUGUCACAAGUGCAACAAAGAGAAUCAUUUUGCAAAGGAUUGCAAAGCUAAUGUAGUGAAAGACAGAGCAUUCUGCCUUAGAAUGGCUCAAGAAUUGGAGGAAGAGGAAAAGGCUAGGGCAUAUGUGGCCCAUGUCAAAAGAGACCAUCAAGUUUGGUCAUCUGGAGAUGAAGAAGAAAUCAUCAGCAAUAUCAAAGGAAAAGGCACGAUCUGCAUGCUAGCAACUGCUGAUGAUGAUGGGUCUACAAAUCUGGAAAGGAACUACUGCUACAUGGCAAAGGAUGGAGCUCUAAGCAUCGUCGAACAGGUAAAACUCAUGAUCGAAACUCUAAACUAUGACAUGCAUGACUGUCAACCUUUCAUAGACAAUCUUAAUGACACAUGUGUUGCCGUCCUUACAGACUACAACAAAGCCUUAGAUGAGAAGAACAUAGCGUCCCAAGAGAUGUUUCAUGUGAGAGGACGACUGGACAACAAAAGACUCAAAAUGGCCAUGUUAGAAAUAGAUUUAGAGUUAGAAAAAGAUGCAAGAAUGUUGAGUGAAACAAAACUAGAGAUAGCUUUGAACCAAAGAGAUUUAGCUCAGAGUGAGAUUAUACGCUUAAAUAUAUUAAUAGAAAAAUUGUUCAAUGAAAGUGAAGCUAUUGAAAAUUUGGUUAAUAAUGGAACUGUGGACAAUACAUACAAUUGGGGUUGGUCCAAUGGAUAUCCUACCGCAGGGGAUUCCUCACUCCGGUUUAACAAAGAUCGACUUUAUGACCCUCCGGACCGAGAAUUUCAUUUUCUAGUCAAUGACAAGACUUUUCCCGAAGAUAUCAGAACCCACUUCGGUAGACUUCAUAAUCUAAGUAAUAAUUAUGUCAUUGAGGAAAUUGUUCAUGAGGUUUUGGAUCACACAUGUGAUCAAACUCCUAUAUGUGGCACAAUCAACCCAAAUUCUCAGACCUCAUCUGUUGUUGAUGAAGAAAUUGUCAUAGAAAGUCCCAAAGUCUUACAAGACUUUCCACCUUUGUCCUCAAACUACAGUGCCUCUCACUGCAGUCAUGAUCCUUAGAAAAGUCCCACUGAAGUCAUGACUCAGACUUAUGCUACGGUAGCUAAGUCUUCCUUACCACAGCCACGAUUAAAAGCUUUGUGACUCUUCAACCAAUUCACCAUGAACUACCCAUAGAAAACUUUGAAGUAGGUCAAUGCUCUAAAAACCCUGAAUCUUCAAGUUCUGAUGAAUCAAGCCCUUGUUGUCAAAAAAUUUCAAAGGUUUCCAGGAAACCGCAGUUGAACACUAAUGACUGUGGUUCUCCAAAAAAAAAGGCUUUCAAAGAGGAUAUUCGAUCCCAAGGCACAAAUCGACAAACCUUUUCUAAAAAUAAAAGACAUAUCAGAUUUCCAAAAUCUAAGAGUCCAUAAGAGUUUGUUUUUUCUCACUAUUUUUCAAAAAACUCUCCCAUCAAGAAAACAUGCAAAAAGGAAUGUGCAAUUUCAACAUCCAUUCCUAACUCAUUUGACAAAACCCAAAAGAAAGAAAGGUCUUUUCGAAGCAAUGGUUUGCAAAUAUAUUCCUCAGAUGAUCCAAAAUGGAAGGGUAUCUUACCCACUCCAACACUUUUAAAAUCACAUCAAAAUUUCAACAAGUGGAAGGGCAUUUUACCUAAUCCUAGAAAAAGGUCCUAGGUACCUACACGUGCUAAAUGUUCUUCGAAACAAACUAUUUCAAAUUCCAACAUCACACAUGUAAAAUCUUACCAACCUCGGACCAGUCACAAAUCUACCACAUCCUUCCGACCGCUGACCAAACAAUGUGCCAAAACAAAAGACAAAAUUUCAGCUUGUCCAUGUCAAUGUAGUUGUCAGAAAAGGUUAUCUCAUGUCAAAACUGAUCCUUUUCAGAAACCUCGUAACUUUUCAAAAAGGCACAACACUCCAAAAACUCACAAACACCCAUGACUAGGAUUAAAAGUUGACCCGAAACCAGUCCCUGCAACCUUGUUUCAUGCAUCAAUCAAAAACUCAUAUGUUGUCCCAGGCUCCAAACUAGUUUGGAUGCCUAAACUUGAUGGGUUUGAGCCAUAAGAACUUUCCUAUGUGCACACGCAAACCCUAAUUGCUUGGAUCUAGGUUUCUCUAAUUGAACAUGCAUUGUAUCCAAGACUUUCAAUAGAAGAUCUAAUGUAAACAAUUGAUUCUAAUCAUAUGAAUUAGGAUCUAGAACAAUACCUUGGAUUACUUGCUUGAUACUUCUUCUUCUUGGAGCUUAGAGUCACAAUUGUCACUCCUCUAAUGGUUUACAAACACCAACUAGCAAGAAGAUGAUUUGAGAGAUGGAGAGAGAUGAGAAAUCGGCUCUAGGGUUUCCUCAAAGAUAGAGUGGCCGAUUUCUCCAACCCUAAGGGUCUAUUUAUACUAUGAGCUCCUAGGGUUUCACCUUAAACCCUAAUUGGAUAACUUAGCCUCAAAGCAAUCCAAAGAUCCUUCUAGAUAAGGCCUUGGAUGAUUUUUUUAAGAUAUCCAUAUCCUUAAAAUUGUCCCUUCCCAUAUCCAUAAGGAUUCAUAGCCCUAAACACAACCAUCACACAUUUGACAGUUUAUGCCCCCUUUAUUCAAUUAAUCUCUUUAAGUCACCAAAUUAAUUCUCAAUUAAUAUAUGACCUAUAUUAAUCAAAUAACAUUAUUAUUCCUUUAAUAUAUUAUUCUCAUUAUAUAUUAACAAUAAUAUCUCUUCUCUCUUAACAAAUCAUCCUGUCAAGUUGCUAUGAUGAAGGCAACCCAAAAGGACCAUGCACAACCGGGUCAAAUACUUACCAAAUAUAGUUACAGCCUUAGACACUAAUCCAACAAAACUAACCGUGUAAUUUCCAGGCCUUGUGCAAGGAGGAACAAGAAUAACAAUGGUUAAUCGACAGUGCCUGCUCCUUGCAGAUGACAGGAAGGUUAUAAUACCUUCGAGAUUUCAGGCCAAUUUGCAACGAUGGAAAUGUCACAUUCGGGAACAAUGCGAAUGGGAUAAUCCAAGGUUAUGGUGCUCUUACUACGGGAAACUUCUAUAUUCAAAAGUUUGCUUAUGUAGAAGGCCUUAAACACAAUCUCAUCAGUUUUGGUCAACUAUGUAAAGCAGGCCAUCGUGUUGAAUUUGAUGACCAAUUUUGCUAUGUAACGACAAGCGAUAGGAGCACUUGUCUGAUCAAGUCCAGAUCCGAAGGUACUAUGUAUCCUCUGGAUGUAUCUCUGAUCAUAGGCAAACCGAAGUUAUGCUUCCUAUCCAAAGCAGUAUCUGAAGUCAGCUGGCUAUGGCACCGCAAGCUCGUUCAUCUCAACUUUAGAUACAUCAACAAUUUGGUCACCGGAGAACUAGUCAGAGGUCUUCCAAUCCUCAAGUUCGGCAAUGAUACUCUCUGUCCUCCAUGUGAGUCUGGAAAAAAAUUCAAGGCAAGUCACCCCACAGUGAUUGAUUCCUCAGUUUCUGAACCAUUGGAACUCUUACACAUUGAUCUCUGCGGUCCAUCUACCGUAGCUAGUCUUCACCACAAAAAAUACAUACUAGUUAUAGUGGAUGAAUUCACACGUUUCACAUGGGUCUUUUUUUUUCGACUCAAGUCAGAAACACCGCAGGUGUUGAUCAACUUCAUCAAGGAAAUUGAACUUCAUAUCAAGUUACCAGUUAGACGUAUCCGAAGUGAUAAUGGAACUGAGUUUACUAACCAUCUCCUAAAUAGUUUCUUGGUUUCCAAAGGGAUUCCUCGCAACUUCUCAGCUCCCUACACGCCACAACAAAAUGGGGUAAUAGAACGAAGGAACCGCACUCUAGUAGAAGCUGCCAGAUUUAUGCUCAACUUUGCACAUCUUCCUCUCUACUUCUGGGCCGAAGCAGUGGCCAUAGCCUUUUUUGUACAAAAUCGAAGCAUUGUGUGCAAACAUCUCAACAAAACACCAUAUGAGGGCCUUAACAACCGCAAGCCAAAUGUCUGAUUCUUUCAUAUAUUUGGGUGUAGAUGCUUUGUAAUCAACAACAGAGAUUACCUCAACAAAUUCGCACCAAAGUCUAAUGAAGGCAUCUUCCUUAGCUACUCCAUUAACAAGGUUGCUUAUCGAGUUCUCAUUAGACGCACAAGGUUGAUAAUUGAAUGCUUCGAUGUGAAAUUUGAUGACUAUCACAUCCGCAACACCGCUCCAUCAACCAAAACCACAACAAUUAUAGAAAGUGAUAUUCCUACCUCUUCGAGUCCAUUAAAUCUAGUUGAAGUAAACUAUGACGAUCUCUUCGAUCCGGUAGAUACAACCAAUUUAUCUGAAGUUCUUGUGUCUCUAGAAGCUCAGCAACAUCAUGCUGAUGUAUCUGGUCCAACAUUGUCCGAAGAAGUAUUACUAAAUACUUCCACCUCGCCGGUUGAGGGGGAAAACUCAACUCCGGACCAUACAACAACCAUCGAGGUUCCAGUACUAGAAGAUGAAGCUCCAAUCCGCGGAGAGUUUCAACCAUCAAACGUUUCUUCGGAUUCGAAUGAUGAAAACAUAGAAAACAUUGACACAAGAACAUAUUCAAGGAUUAUCACACUCCCAUCCGUAAUCCAGGGGGAACCUUCGCAGGUUCAAGGCGAACUCCCUUCUACACUCCAGGGGAACCUUCGCCAUCUUCCCAAGAAAACUCUGAUCCCUCCUUCCCUGUUCAAGACAAUUUAGCAGGAUGUUCUCAAGUCCAGGGGGAACUGCCGUCUCCAACCGCAUAGUCUUCUAAUAUUGAAGACAUUCCCUCCACCGCAGCUGCUGAUCAUCUGCAACCCCAUCUGCACGUAUGGACGAGAGACCACCCACUAGGUCAAAUCAUCGGCAACCCAUCCGCAGGAAUCCAGACUCGAUCAUCCAAGGACUUAUCCGAUCACUGUCACUAUGCAACGUUUCUGUCCUCGGUCGAACCUCGGACAAUCAAAGAAGCAUUACUUGAACCAGAUUAGAUAUCCGCAAUGCAAGAAGAGCUAGAAGAAUUCAAAGGGAACAAGGUAUGGCAGCUCGUUCCAAAACCGCAAGGCCACACCAUUGUUGGCACUAGAUGGGUGUACAAGAAUAAGUUGGAUGAAUCUGGUUCGGUCAUCAGAAACAAGGCAAGACUAGUUGCUAAAGGAUAUAGUCAACUUGAAGGCAUUGACUAUGAUGAAACGUAUGCAUCGGUAGCACGAAUGGAAGCCAUUCGGAUCUUCUUAGAAUACGCAUCGCACAAGAACAUCAAGGUUCAUCAAAUGGAUGUGAAAAGUGCUUUUCUCAAUGGUGAAUUAAAAGAGGAAGUUUAUCUUAAGCAACCACCGGGUUUUGAAAGUCUUGAAUUCCCAUACCACUGCUACAAGCUUGAAAAAGCAGUCUACGGUCUAAAACAAGCCCUAAGAGCAUGGUACGAGACUCUCUCUGAAUUUCUUGUCUCAUCCGGAUACAAACAAGGAGUGAUUGAUCCCACUUUAUUUAGAAAAGCAAAUGGUGACCAUCUAAUGCUUAUACAAAUAUAUGUGGAUGAUAUCAUCUUCAGAUCGACUGAUCAAGGAAUGGUGGAUGAAUUUGCUAAGCUCAUGACCAACAAGUUCCAAAUGAGCAUGAAUAGAUAGAUUAACUUCUUUCUAGGACUUCAAGUGAAACAAGUCCCUCAAGGGAUAUUCAUUCAUCAAGAGAAAUACACCUCAGAACUGUUAAAGAAAUAUUCAAUGGACAAGUGUUCUUCGGCUAAGGUCCCCCUGGCCUUCGGAUAUAAGAUAUCUGCUGAUCCCUCAUGCGAAUCUGUUGAUCACAAGACCUAUAGAGGUAUUAUUGGCUCAUUGAUGUACCUCACCGCAAGCCUACCAGAUAUAGUCUUUGCAAUGGGUGUAUGCGCAAGGUACCAGGCUGACCCAAAAAUGUCACACAUGACCGCAGCCAAG